AGUUAUAGCCUAAAUACCCUAAAAGCACCAACUGCUGUCUAAUAUUUGAAGCUAAGCAGAAUAAAUCCUGGUUGGUAUUUGAAUGGGAGACCCCCAACUUAUACUAGGGUGCUAUAGGCU
rnacentral:rRNA from 11 species